rnacentral:rRNA from 2 species
UGGAUUGCAAAAGAAGUAGGUAGCUUAACCUGCUAAAGGAGGGCACUUACCACUUUGUGAUUCAUGACUGGGGUGAAGUCGUAACAAGGUAACCGUAGGGGAACCUGUGGUUGGAUCACCUCCUUAA